rnacentral:lncRNA from 1 species
AAUCCUAAUCAUUCAUUGUAAUUCAAUCAAAGGCCAGAAAUUAUUUGGUAAGUAAAUGUGCUCUAUAUUCCCUAUUUUGGAAUAGCAAUACAAAUCUUUAUAUUCAUUACCAAAUCACACUUGACAAAAACUCCCUCUAUAUUGAAUCCCAUUAAUAUUUACAUCACAUUGCUCUUUCUUAGUGAUAUGUCUAUCCAUGUAAUAUUAGUGGUUUUUGGUUUACCCUCUGUAAAAAAAAAAAAAAUUUAGAUUCCAACCCUGUAAUUUAAAGAUUCUUCGGUUUUAAACCUUGAUAAAUUUUGAUGGUACAAAAUUGAUGAUAGAGUAGGGGGUAAACUGAAAUUCGCUCAUAUCUCUCAUCAAAAGGUGCUUUUCGAUAAUCUCUAUUUAGCAUAGUCCCCAGCAAAUCCGAGAGAACAUUGCAAUAUUUGUCCUACAUUCAUUUGCGAGGGUACCCCUAAUGGGUUGAAGACCAUAUCAAUGGUUCUUCCAUCUUGCAACUAAGACACAUCUUGUGAUCUAGACAAAAUCUUUGAAAUGAUACCUUAAUUCCAUGUCUCUUGGCCACUUUAUCACUUUUCACGUUUUCUGUGUGCGCGUUUGUGAAUCGUUUCUGGAUUAUAGCUAGAACCUGCUUUUUUUUAUUCCAUCUCAUAUCAAUAACUCUGCCCCUACCACCUAUAGGUAGUUUUAGACAAGUUUCCUUUGAGGUAGAUACUUGAAUUCAAAGUAUAGCUCGUAAUAAUCUAACUUCCGGAGCAUAUAAGGAUUCUUUCUCCAUUGGAGGUGUUAACUUACCCACUAAAAUAUCCCCCAUUUCUAUCCAAGAUCCCAUAAUCACAAUUCCAUUUUUGUCUAAAUUUCGGAGUAAAUGGGCUUCUAGAUGUGGAAUUUUAUUAGUGAUUCUUUAAAUAAUAAAAUUUCGGAGUAAAUUUUGACGGUACAAAAUCGAUAAUAUGGCAGGGGGUAAAUUGAAAUCGCUCAAAUUACAAGGGGCGAAAGUAUCAUAAAUUUUGAAAUUUGACGUCAUGAAGGUCCAAAACCAAAUAAUCUUCAAAUUACAGGUUUACAAUCUAAACAAUUUUUUUUACAAAGGGGCAAAUCAAAAACCGCUAAUAUUAAAGGGGUAAACAUAUAUUUACCCUUUGAUAUAUAUUUUUAUGAUGAAAUAGUUUUUUUUAACGAAUUAUAAUGAAAAAGUUGUAAAACAUACGACAUGCAAUGAAAAUGCAACUCUUGGUAUAAUAAUUAACAAGAUCGUAAAAACUAUUUUGUCAAAAAAAAAAAAAAAAACUGUAAAAACAAUUAGAAUCCGAUUCAUCAAUUUUUUGGUGGUGGCCGGGGUUCGAAUCUCGGACCUUACAUAUUUUAUGCAUUGUCCCUACCAAUUGAGCUAAGCUCACAAGUACAUCCAAUCAUCAAUUUGAGAAAAGAAACAAUGACUCAAAAUGGAUCAUUAUAUUUAAAACAAAAAAUUCAAAUAAAUAUUUUUUUUCUAACAAGCCAAAAUGAAUUAUAUUACUAAAACAAGAGUGAUUCACUUCGCACAAGACGUGUCGAAAGACAAUCACACAAAGUAUGUUACAAAGUCACCGGUGCCUAAUCAGGAGAGCACUACCAAAAUAAAAUAACAACGAAAAAAUAAUUUAAACAAAAACACUCAUACAUGAAAGAGGGUGACACCACCAAUUAUGAUAGUCAAAAGUGAACGUAACCAAAUUAGCCUUGAACCACAAGAAGGAAUUAAGCUUAACUUUGUCGAGGAUAUUAUAAGGAUCGGAUGCCGUAUUUUUUAAAACCUGAUUGUUCCUUUCCUCGCAAAUAACCCAGACACACGCCAGCCAAAUAACCUUCAAGAAUAAAUGAGAAGAUCGCAGCAUACCCGUCAAAUUAGUAAACAAAAUAAAAUGGUCGCGAAGCACACCGUAAGAAACUGAAGAAAUACAAGUCACUGCCAGACAAGGGACCAAACGCUGCCAAAGGUAUCACAGCCUAAGAAAAGAUGAUACGUCGUAUCCAUUGAGCCACAUCCUCCCAUACACAUGUCGUCGUCUGGUUGAAGAACAUGUCGUCGCACCAUGUUGUCUUUGGUUGGGAUUCUAUUAAGGAGAAGGCGCCACUCGUUUAAGGAAACCUUUAAAGGAACUUGCUUGUGCCAAAUAUCAUCAACGAAACCCCUAUCUAGAGGCUCAUCCGCGGCCGUGAGAAAUUGAUACUCCCCACACCCAAAAUAGCCAUGGAUAGCAUAUCUCAACCACUUCCAUUUACCAUGAAUAUGAUCCUGCAAAACAAUGUUAUGUAACAAAGCAGAACACCCACACCCACACACACACACACACCCAAAAAAAAUAAAAAAUAAAUCUUUUAAAAAUAAAUUCAAUAAAAGACUAAUGUUAUCCGGACCCGGGCUCUUGAAUAAAUUCAAUAAAAUUCCAAAACACCCCAAAACAAAAUAAAUUCAAUAAAUUCAACAAAAUUCCAUCAAAAAUCUCAUAAAAUCAUCCUUCAUCUCUUGCCAAAAUUCUUUAAUAAAUCCAAGUCUAAUGUUAUCCGGACUCGGGCUCUUGAAACUAUCGCAAUCCCAGACUGCUUGCUUCACCUCCUCUAAGGAAAAUGGACGAAUUAAAUUCCCUGAUUCAACGUUAGACAACUUAGUGAAAUUUAGUUCCUCCACCCCGGACACUCAACACCAAGAGAUUUGAAAUGAUAAGAAAACUGGUUAAAAACAUCACUUUUAUUGUUUUGGACCCCGUCGACUUAAACCCCAUCAACAUACACCAACUAAAUAGCAUUGCGGUGUCGCCUGUUAUACAUAAUACCAUGAAAGAAUUUUGAAUUAGCAUCGCCUUCUUGUAACCAGUUCAUCCUCGCCUUCUGCAAACUCAUACAGCACACGAGCUAUUGAGUGCAAACUCGUAGAUAACUCAUGAAGCUCCGUCACCUCAUCCUCCAGAAGCGCGGAUUCCUCCCCUGUUAGACAUAUUUCAGUUUAAUUUUUAUAUGUUUUUGAAAUGAAUUUAAUUUUUAUAUGUAUAAUGCCUUUUCAAAGCCCUAGGAAAUGUGGUAUACUUAGGAAAUCAAAUCAAACAUAGGAACAGGGGGUGCAAACAAUAUGCUUGAGUCGCUAUCCCUGGUCAUCUUUUCUGAACGUUGCAUUAUAAGCUCUAUUUUUUUUCCUUUGGUAAGGUAGGCGACAUAGGGUUGUCUGUUUGUAAAACUACUAAGGUCGGAAAGGGUAGGUGAUGUACUUCUAAGAUUCAUAAAUAAAGUUAGAGCCUUUAGCUAACAAUUUAGAAAUACCAAUUCUUUUAUAUUUCAAUUACCUCUGAUAGAGUAAUGCCCCACUCUAACAACCUUAUGUAGGAUUGACGACCCUAGACCGGUAGAGCGUGUAUAACAUUAUCGUGAUCAGCGGGUGCAACUUGAUUAUUGGAGGGACGCAAUAAUCCUACGAAUUCAGCACUUAAAAAAAAAACCCUUAUCUCAUAAAUAAUAUUUACUUGUCUUUAAAUGAACAAUGAAAUAUACCGCUAAGUUCUGCAAUCAUAACUAUUACUAAAAAUUCAAUUGUUUUGCACAAUCAAAUCAAACUUACAAUAUAUUUGUGAGUGUACCAUAUAUUGAAGCUCCCGUUAAUUUGUGAGUGUACCAUAUAUUGAAGCUCAAGAGUACGAGCGCAUUUUAAUUUGUGAGUGUACCAUAUAAUGAAGCUCCUGUUAAUCUUUUAAGUCUUGUUGUUUGAAAUAAUUGACGCAAAAUUUAAUGUUAUUCGUUACAAGAUGAAAAUAACAAAGAAGACGGAAAAUUACAAAUCAAGUAUAUAGUUCAUAAAAAAAAAAAAUAAUAAAUAAAUAAAAAAAACAUCUCUUAAUUUUAUGUAAGAAUUCAACUAAUUUUACAUUUUAUUUUAUUUUUUGUAUUAUCAAUUACAAAAAUACAACAAAAUCCUUAAAACUCAACCCACCUUAAAAUUAUUCCCACAAGAAAAUAAUACAACAAAUUUUUAUUUUUAUUUUGAGGGCAAGACAACCAAGUUCCUCUUAGCUCGAAAACUAAUUCUCAUACCCAAAUGAAAAUAAACAAAAUAUUUUUUAUCUAAUUUUUGCCCCAAUGUUUCAAACACCAUUGGAUGCAUGUUUCACAUUAUCAUUUGAAUAUUUUUCAUAUCCAAAUUCAUCAGUCGUCUCCUCUAGGAAUCUCUUCACUAUCUCCUUGCUUGGUUUAAUCACAAUCUCUUGAUGCAAAUGUUUAUAAUCUUCUCCCCUUAAAAGGGCCUCAAAGACUUCCGUAGAAUCAAUUUUAUACACCAUCGAUUCAAGCAUAUGAGUCAUGUUCUGGAUCUUCGAGAGUUGAUUUUUAGCCAGUAUGCAAGUGUUUUGUUUGGUUUCUUCAAUAGCUUUCUUAAGUAUCAUUUCCUUUAUAGCAUCAUCAAUGCCACUUUUCUUUUCUAUCGCGAAAAAAGAAUCAAGCUCAGGAACCCCAAUAGCCCUUCUAAUUCCCUUUGUGUUGUCUGCCCCAGGUACAAAAUAUUCUCGAAUCUCAUCAACCAUCCCACCCUCAACCAUUUCAUCCACUCUUUUGCCUACAUAUUUAAACAGAGUAGGCAAAGACACAUCUACCCAGAUGAAACAACAAUCAUAUUUUGAAAGAAAUGCAAUGGUUGGGUCCUCAACUAAUUUUCUUAGAUAAGAAUUGGACCCUCCUACAAUAAUAGGUAGGUGUCCAUUGCCAAUUAUUAGAUCUAAGGAUUCAAGCACAUGCUUGCAGAAAUCAUUCAUAGUAAAAUCAUAUUCAGGAUCAUCGAUGAUGCCUAAUAUAUGAUGCGGAAUCGAGCAACGUUCAGAUUCCAGUACCUUAUUUGUGACAAUAUCAAGACCCUUAUAGACUUGAAUCUUGUCUGAGUUGAUGAUUUCAGCGGGGUAAUAAGUACUCAAGUUGAUGGAAAGUUUAGUUUUUCCAGUUCCUGUUGCACCCAAUAUGAACAAAACCUUGUUCUUCUUUUCAGCUAGGGUUGAGGUAGUGAAAGCCAUGUUAUUUUCUGGAUGAAAAAUCUGAAGAAAAAAAAAGCAGAACAUAAAAAAUAAGAAAAUUAAUAAUAAGUAAAUUUGAACUAAUUUAAAUCGAAAAUAAAUUAUUCCUAACUAUCUUCUUAGUAAGAGAGUAUGUUAUACCAAGAAGAAGGUUGAUUGAAACUCUGUUAUUACAGUUAGAAUUUGUUUCUGAAUAAUAGGUGAGAAAACUUACGGUUUUUUUAUUCUGAGGACAAAAGUGAACUCAACUAUGCGCUAUAUAUUGUUCUCAAGGAAACCAUGCAAUAUCUUAUAAUAUAUUGCUGGUAGUAACUGUUAUUAAUUAAAAUAAUAUUUAGUCUUUCUCAAAUGAUAAAAUAGGAAAAAAAAAAUUCUUUUUAUUUUUGGUCAAAUUGAAAUUUAUUGUUAUGUAUGUAAGUAUUAAAUAUUAAGUAAUUUUGCAGUCAAAAAUAUUUGAAUAAUAAUAUAGUUACCUAGUAUAAAUGUGAAUAUAAACCUUAUAACAUAUUAUUUAAUAAAAAUAGUAAGAAAUUUAUUAGUAAGAAUUAUAUAAUUGUCUUUAAUUUGGUCAAUGGUCAUACAAACUUUUUUUAAUUUAUUGUUUUCUAGAUAUCUUUUUCUUUUUGAACAAAUUUUUUUAGCUACCUUGUUAGUCAGGGUGUGAAUUAUUUCAAGAAGAGGGGGUUAUCGAAUCUUUGUUAUCACAUUAAUAAUUUGGUUCAUAAAUAAAUAAAUGUAAAUUAAUUUAUUAUUUUGUUUGAGAUGUGUGAACUCAAUUUUUGUGUAUCUUUUAUGUUUUACACUUGAAUUAAUUUUUUAGUAAAAAACAUAAAAAUGUUUGAUCAUAUUGUCUUAUUGGGUUGUACAAAAUACGACAUUGUCUUACAUUUCAUCCCAACAAUAAUGCAUUGAGCCAGGUCUAACCGAAUGAAAAUAAAAAAAAAUAAUAAAGGAAUGACAAGGACAUAACUGAAACAUGGACCGAGUUAAUGUCACCCCUUGGGUUACUCGUCAUGUCCCAAAAAUAUUAAAGGACGAUCCUCCUGGACCUAGGAAAAUGGUUUUUUUGGGUAGAGAUUAGUUGUGUAGUGGGAUCAAGCUUGUCGUUGUUUGUUGUGGUCCUCCACGAGUUCUUCUCCACUGAAGGAGGGUUGUGUACGUAACUUCACAUGCUUGGACGUUUAAGUCAAUGUGGGCUUAAGAGAGUGCGGCUAAAAUAUGAUAAAUGUAAUCUUGGGGUCAACCUUCUAUUUUUGGAGACCCUUGAUGUUUUGUCCAAUACUUGCUAAACGUAAUCUUGGACCCACUUGAGGCAUAAGCCGUCGAGAAUCGUCUGUGUGGGACCGAGUUUAAGUUACCCCUCGGGUUACUCGUCGCAUCCCAAUUUAAUUAGAGGACUGAUCCUCAAGACCUAGGAAAACAAUUUUGUUGGGUUGAGAUCUAUUGUGUAGAAGGAUUGAGUUCGUUGUCGUCCACAGUGGUCCUUCAUAAGUCUUUCUCCAUUGAACUAUAUAUAUAUAUAUAUAUAUUAGCUUAGUAAAAAUUAAUAUAUAUGGAAUUACUGCGUCAAGUUCUUUGCCCUCCUCUAUGUAUUCAUUUUUAAGUCUUUUGUGCUAGUAAAUAGGAGACCAGCUCUCGUGCAAUGCAUUUCAAAGGACUACUCUUAUUCCACUCCUUAAAGCUCCGCACAUAGAGGUCUUUGUAAUAUUUGUGUGUUGAAUAUAUUCACCAUGCAGAGAGAGUCUAACAUAUUCCAUUAGACUCAGCUCCCAAUUAUGAACACAAUAAUACAGUAAAAUAUCAUAGCUUAAAAAAAAAUUAAAAAAAAUAAACUAAAGGUACCGACCAACUCAAAGACAGAUAUUGUUCACACAAAAAAAAAAAAACUCAAAGACGAAUUAAUUUUAAACACAUAUGCAAACCUAACAAACUUCAAUAGAAACCAUGAACACCAUUUAUUACAAAAUCUAACGAGGUUACAAAAUGGUAACACCAAUUAAUACCAAGCUCUAACUCGAUUACAUAUAAAUAACUUACAUUAAUUAAAAUUCAAUUUUAUAACAUUAACCAUCAAUAUCCCCUCAAAAAAAAAAAAAACAUUCACAGUGACGGAGGACCUAUAGGGCCAAGGUGGGUCAUGGUCCACCCAACAAAAAAAACAAUUAUAUGGGAAUUUUUUCAAAUAUCUUUGAUUUUUAACUAAAAUUACCUUGCAGCUGGUAGCCUGUAAUUUCGACAGACUCAUUUAAUGCGGUCAAUAUUGAUUGACUUUUAUCUUUUUAGGAAUCGAAGUCCUUCCCCUUCAACAUGAGGAUUUCAACAGAAACUGGGCUUAGCAUGUUAAAGGGUCUAAAGGCCUUGGAGUUCGACAAUACGUGAGACAAGAAUGCAAGUUCGUCGAAGCCAAGCAAUUACUGUUGAGGCUAGAAGAAUUUGAAUUUCAAAGAGAAGCGGUUUCCUUGAUGGAAACGUGGGAGACAAGCGGGUUCUUGAUUGAAAAAGUGUUGGUCAUGGAGUUAGAUUUUUUUCAGUUAUUUUGCUAUGUAUAAAUAGUAGUUUUCCAUAUUGAAAAUGGGUCGCAAAUCACUUAUUGAAAUUCUAAAACACUCGAAGUACCGGCGCGAGAGAAAAGAGUUAUACAGAAUGUAUGUAAAAUGAUUUGUCG